AAAGGAUAACAAACGUGAACCACGUGUGCUGUCUCCCAGGCUUUGUGAGUGGAACACGGGCAGCUUCCAAACACAGGGCAGGUGCCACCUGUUUUCAUCGGGAAAGAAAUCUGUCUGGGGCAUCCUGCAGGUCUGAACAAUCUCAUGUGGAAAGCUCUGUCCCCGCACGGGCCUCCGGGGCACUGAAAGGACACCUGCAGCCCUACUGUGUGCUCCUUGCCCACUUUUUGGCCCGGAUCCAACAAUGUUGGCAGAUGUCAAGAUAAGCACAUCAUGCACAAGUUUCUAAUCCCACCUGAAGGUCAUCCUGAAAUUCACCGUCUGUGGACCCAAGGAAAGCAAGCUGAGCUGAGGGUGGGAAUUAGCAGGACCACUUGGCAUUUGAAUAAAGACAGCCAGGUGUUUAGAUCCAGAACAGGGCGGGCAAGCAAGGGAAGGGAGGAAAGAGAGCCAGUAAACAGGUACUCAGGCUCACUGACGCACAGCUGCGCGGAGACGUUUCCUCCUCCCAAACUUGGCGUCUGGGCUCUAAUCUCAGGUUCUAGCUCCCAAGGGGUUUGGAUGCAGCACCGGCAUUUCUUAGUUAAGCAAACCCGCGUGCCUAUAGACAGUGAAAGAAGUCCUUUUCCAAGAUACAGAUGCUGGGGACGUCUGCUGUGGGCCAGGCCUGCCCCUGCAUCUCCAGCUGGGGCGCGCCGACCUGACCGCGGGAGGCUGGCCACUGGCGGGAGCACCACGUGCCCGAAGCCCUGCGGAGGCCCAGCAGGUGCAGCGAUGCCCGAGCCUGGGGGAGCCGGGAUCCAGAGUGGCCGGUCCCACCCACAGCGGUGUACCCGGUGCCUCCUGAAAAGGCUUGGAAAGCGCUGCCUUCCGGUCGCUGUCCGGACACAGGACCAGCUUUGGGGAAACACUGAUGGGAAAAGUAUCUUCACAAAUCAACUGUGAAAUAAUACAGACACAAGCAAAUCCUCCAUCAUUCAAGCUGCCUACUGAACUACAGACCGUCUGCAGUGAAUCUGGAGUUUAAGCCUGCUACAGCCAACUGCAGAGCUUCCCAGCUGCCAUGGUCAGAGCAGAUUCUAAGUGGACAGACACGGGUCUGCAGGCUGGAGUGGUGGGCUCUCGCUGGGAGACCUUACCAAGAAGUGUGGUCUGCAGGCAAGAAUCAACUUGGCCCAAAAUCACUGGCAAGAUCUGUCAAAGUCAGGAAUAAGGUAAGGCCACAGGCCUGCUCACGGGGUGGGCGCAGGCUGAGAGGCGGUCUUCCAAGCCAAAAGGAAAUGGGAAGAAGCCCCGCUGAGACCUGGCCAACAGACCAAGGGCAGGGAGGAAUCUUUAGUCUCAGGGGAGGGAGGACUGGCCCGAGAGAC